ACGAUGAAGAGUUUGAUCCUGGCUCAGGAUGAACGCUAGCGGCAGGCCUAACACAUGCAAGUCGAGGGGCAGCGGGGAUAAGCUUGCUUAUCCGCCGGCGACCGGCGCACGGGUGCGCAACGCGUAUAGAAUCUGCCCUGUACUGGGGAAUAGCCCAGAGAAAUUUGGAUUAAUGCCCCAUGGUAUGUAUUAGCGGCAUCGCUUGUACAUUAAAGGCUACGGUACAGGAUGACUAUGCGUCCCAUUAGUUAGUUGGUAAGGUAACGGCUUACCAAGGCAGCGAUGGGUAGGGGCCCUGAGAGGGGGAUCCCCCACACUGGUACUGAGACACGGACCAGACUCCUACGGGAGGCAGCAGUGAGGAAUAUUGGACAAUGGGCGGGAG
rnacentral:ncRNA from 1 species